AGUCCCUCAGGCCAUACAACAGAGCUGGAGGUGAAGCUUCUGCAGUCAGCUGUUGGAAGAUGCAUAAAAUGGAGCACUAAUGCUUCUUGGCAAAAAGGCAUUCCUUUGCUUAUUUUCCUUAUAGUUCCCUUCCAAGCAACUCUUUACACUUCUUAUAUGCUGUGUAUUUUUUACUUAAUCUUCCUAAGAUCUGGGCAUUUGUUCCCAUGUUAUAUUCAGACACUGGAACAACUUGUAACUUCUAUAAUGUGUGGGUAGACCAAUAUUUGGAGUGUGAUACCAAUCCUCCACUGGGAUACAGAGAAUGCAUCUGAAGCUUGAAAAUCUACGGUUCUAGCUCAAGCCUUAGGAAAGUAAAGAAAAAAGAAACUCUUUUGGUGGAUGAGAAGUUCUUCAAUACCAAUCCCAAGCAGUAAAAGUUGUGAAUCUCAGAGGAAGGACUGCUCUUGCAUUUGGGAGCUGCAAACCUCAGAAGCCCACCAGCGUGAUCCUUCCUUGUGCAGAGAAAGGAUGAGUUACCUACGCACAAGGAAAUCUGCUUUAACUCCUCAAAGCUGGCAAAGCUAGACUGGGCUCAGUGCCAACAAAAGGGUGGUCUUUGAUAAUAAUUUUUUUCUUCUCACCUAAAUUCUCUCUCUGAUCAGAAGUAUGAAAAUGACCUUUAAAUCCUAGACAUAUAGAACAGCCCUGCUUUUCAGUGGUUACCUCAGUGUUACCUGGUAUUAACAUGCAGUAGGUUCAGUGGGAGCUUGAAGAUACACCACUCCCAAGCAGAACUCCCAUUGAUUGUCUACCCUCAGACUUCAAAAUGAUGGGUCGUGUUCUCAGCUAGUUACAUGAAUAUUUUUCAAGUACUUUAUGGCAUUCUACAUAUGUUGUGCUUCUGGCCCCUUUUUUUCAAUCAUUAUUACAUAAUCGUUUGUGUUAAUCAGCAUCAGUAUUUGGUCCUAGGAAAAAAUAUUUUCUUUGAAAAUAGAUUGCUGGAAGAUAAGGUAGAAAUGUUUGAUGCUGGCAAACCUUACAUAAGGAUUUAAGCUAAACUGAUUGGAAGGAGAGCAGUUAAAAUCCUUAUAGUAAUGUCAAUAUAUAAAACAGAGCACUCCUAAAAUAAAAUUAAAAUAGGUCAGAAUUUUUAAAAUUAAUACUUUCAUUCACUCUGUCUGCUGGAAUAGAUUUUGUAGGACCACUCAUCAUUUUUAUGUCCUUAAUUCAUCCCAUUUAAGAAUCAAAUAUUACAUAAUUCUUUAUCAAAGUUUUCUUGGAUUGCUUAUCUUAUUUUUAACAACUGAAAAACUCUUACCAAAUAGGUACAUCACACGCAUUAAAAUGUGCAGAGACCCCAGAACAUUUGUAUAUACAUUAAUACUAAUGAGAUAAUCCACCUGCUUAUUUCACUACACAGCAGCUAUGCAGAUUUUAAAGUGUUCAAUUAAACUUCAUUCAGUACAUAGAUUAUUGAUCCAAUCUGGAGAAUGAUGUCACUGGUAGGUUAAAAAUAUAUAUAUUUUACCUUUUAAAAUAAAAUUGCUCACUUAGAAAAACUGCACAUAUAAACCUUACACAUAAAUUGUUCUGGAAAAUUUGUUUCAUAGAGCAACAAAAAGAAGGAAAAUAAAAUAAAAGCAGUUAC
rnacentral:lncRNA from 7 species